GUGGGGAAUAUUGCACAAUGGGGGAAACCCUGAUGCAGCGACGCCGCGUGGAGGAUGACGGCCUUCGGGUUGUAAACUCCUUUUGUCAGGGACAAUGGUGAUGGUACCUGACGAAUAAGCCACGGCUAACUCUGUGCCAGCAGCCGCGGUAAGACAGAGGUGGCGAGCGUUGUUCGGAAUUACUGGGCUUAAAGGGCGCGUAGGCGGUGGUGUAAGUCUGGGGUGGAAUGCUACAGCUCAACUGUAGAGCUGCCUUGGAAACUGCAUUACUUGAGGCGGUGAGGGGAAGGCGGAAUUCCUGGUGUAGCGGUGAAAUGCGUAGAUAUCAGGAGGAAGGUCUGUGGCGAAGGCGGCCUUCUGGCACUUGACUGACGCUGAGGCGCGAAAGCGUGGGGAGCAAACAGGAUUAGAAACCCCAGUAGUCC
rnacentral:rRNA from 1 species